rnacentral:snRNA from 1 species
GAUUCCCUUCGGGUAUCAUCCGAUAAAAUUGGAACGAGACAGAGAAGAUUACCAUGGCCCCUGCGCAAGGAUGACACGAUAUGACACGCACAGUCACAAAUCGAG